UACGUAGGGUGCGAGCGUUGUCCGGAAUUAUUGGGCGUAAAGGGCUCGUAGGCGGUUUGUCGCGUCGGGAGUGAAAUCAUCUGGCUUAACUGGGUGCUGCUUUCGAUACGGGCAGACUAGAGGUAUGCAGGGGAGAACGGAAUUCCUGGUGUAGCGGUGAAAUGCGCAGAUAUCAGGAGGAACACCGGUGGCGAAGGCGGUUCUCUGGGCAUGAUCUGACGCUGAGGAGCGAAAGUGUGGGGAGCGAACAGG
rnacentral:rRNA from 1 species